UACAGAGGUCUCAAGCGUUGUUCGGAUUCAUUGGGCGUAAAGGGUGCGUAGGCGGCGCGGUAAGUCGGAUGUGAAAUCUCGGGGCUUAACUCCGAAACUGCAUUCGAUACUGCCGUGCUUGAGGACUGGAGAGGAGACUGGAAUUUACGGUGUAGCGGUGAAAUGCGUAGAUAUCGUAAGGAAGACCAGUGGCGAAGGCGGGUCUCUGGACAGUUCCUGACGCUGAGGCACGAAGGCCCAGGGGGAGCAAAACGGG
rnacentral:rRNA from 1 species